ACGCUGGCGGCAGGCCUAACACAUGCAAGUCGAGCGGUAGAGAGAAGCUGGCUUCUCUUGAGAGCGGCGGACGGGUGAGUAAUGCCUAGGAAUCUGCCUGGUAGUGGGGGAUAACGUUCGGAAACGGACGCUAAUACCGCAUACGUCCUACGGGAGAAAGCAGGGGACCUUCGGGCCUUGCGCUAUCAGAUGAGCCUAGGUCGGAUUAGCUAGUUGGGGGGGUAAUGGCUCACCAAGGCGACGAUCCGUAACUGGUCUGAGAGGAUGAUCAGUCACACUGGAACUGAGACACGGUCCAGACUCCUACGGGAGGCAGCAGUGGGGAAUAUUGGACAAUGGGCGAAAGCCUGAUCCAGCCAUGCCGCGUGUGUGAAGAAGGUCUUCGGAUUGUAAAGCACUUUAAGUUGGGAGGAAGGGCAGUUGCCUAAUACGUAACUGUUUUGACGUUACCGACAGAAUAAGCACCGGCUAACUCUGUGCCAGCAGCCGCGGUAAUACAGAGGGUGCAAGCGUUAAUCGGAAUUACUGGGCGUAAAGCGCGCGUAGGUGGUUUGUUAAGUUGGAUGUGAAAUCCCCGGGCUCAACCUGGGAACUGCAUUCAAAACUGACUGACUAGAGUAUGGUAGAGGGUGGUGGAAAUUCCUGUGUAGCGGUGAAAUGCGUAGAUAUAGGAAGGAACACCAGUGGCGAAGGCGACCACCUGGACUGAUACUGACACUGGGGUGCGAAAGCGUGGGGAGCAAAC
rnacentral:rRNA from 1 species